rnacentral:rRNA from 1 species
AGCAGCCGCGGUAAUUCCAGCUCCAAUAGCGUAUAUUAAAGUUGUUGCAGUUAAAAAGCUCGUAGUUGAAUUUCGGGAUCAAUACGUCGGUCGUGCUUAGGUACGUACUGGCGUAAUUGAUUUCUCCCUUCUGACGAACCAUGAUGUCAUUAACUUGGUGUCAUGGGAAAUCAGGACUGUUACUUUGAAAAAAUUAGAGUGUUUAAAGCAGGCUCACGCUUGAAUACAUUAGCAUGGAAUAAUGAAAUAGGACGUUCGAUCCUAUUUUGUUGGUUUUAGGAUCAACGUAAUGAUUAAUAGGGAUAGUUGGGGGCAUUAGUAUUCAAUUGUCAGAGGUGAAAUUCUUGGAUUUAUUGAAGACUAACUACUGCGAAAGCAUUUGCCAAGGAUGUUUUCAUUAAUCAAGAACGAAAGUUAGGGGAUCGAAGACGAUCAGAUACCGUCGUAGUCUUAACCAUAAACUAUGCCGACUAGGGAUCGGAUGAUGUUAAUUUUUAAUGACUCAUUCGGCGCCUUAAC